AGAGUUUGAUCAUGGCUCAGAAUGAACGCUGGCGGCGUGCCUAACACAUGCAAGUCGCACGAGAACUCUUCUGCUUGCAGAAGAUAGUAAAGUGGCGCACGGGUGAGUAUCGCGUGGGUAAUCUACCUUCGAAUCGGGGAUAACAUUGCGAAAGCGAUGCUAAUACCGGAUGAUAUCCAAUUUGCCUCGGCUUUUUGGAUCAAAGGUGGCCUCUACAUGUAAGCUACUGUUUGAAGAUGAGCCCGCGUACCAUUAGCUUGUUGGUAGGGUAACGGCCUACCAAGGCUACGAUGGUUAGCUGGUCUGAGAGGAUGAUCAGCCACACUGGAACUGACACACGGUCCAGACUCCUACGGGAGGCAGCAGUGAGGAAUUUUGCGCAAUGGGGGAAACCCUGACGCAGCAACGCCGCGUGAGUGAUGAAGGCCUUCGGGUCGUAAAGCUCUGUCAAGUGGGAAGAACCUACAGAGUGCCAAUACCAUUUUGUACUGACGGUACCACUGAAGGAAGCACCGGCUAACUCCGUGCCAGCAGCCGCGGUAAUACGGGGGGUGCAAGCGUUAUUCGGAAUCAUUGGGCGUAAAGAGCACGUAGGCGGUUUCAUAAGUCAGAUGUGAAAGCCCGGGGCUUAACCCCGGAAGUGCAUUUGAAACUAUGUGACUUGAGUAUGGGAGAGGGAAGUGGAAUUCCUGGUGUAGAGGUGAAAUUCGUAGAUAUCAGGAGGAACACCGGUGGCGAAGGCGACUUCCUGGACCAAUACUGACGCUGAGGUGCGAAGGCGUGGGUAGCAAACAGGAUUAGAUACCCUAGUAGUCC
rnacentral:rRNA from 1 species